rnacentral:rRNA from 1 species
GACGAACGCUGGCGGCGUGCCUAAUACAUGCAAGUUGAGCGCUGAAGGUUGGUACUUGUACCAACUGGAUGAGCAGCGAACGGGUGAGUAACGCGUGGGGAAUCUGCCUUUGAGCGGGGGACAACAUUUGGAAACGAAUGCUAAUACCGCAUAAAAUCUUUAAACACAAGUUUUAAGUUUGAAAGAUGCAAUUGCAUCACUCAAAGAUGAUCCCGCGUUGUAUUAGCUAGUUGGUGAGGUAAAGGCUCACCAAGGCGAUGAUACAUAGCCGACCUGAGAGGGGGGUCGGCCAGAUUGGGACUGAGACACGGCCCAAACUCCUACGGGAGGCAGCAGUAGGGAAUCUUCGGCAAUGGGCGAAAGUCUGACCGAGCAACGCCGCGGGAGUGAAGAAGGUUUUCGGAUCGGAAAACUCUGUUGGUAGGGAAGAACGUUGGUGGGAGUGGAAAGCUCAUCAAGUGACGGUAACUACCCAGAAAGGGACGGCUAACUACGUG